GAUGAACGCUGGCGGCGUGCUUAACACAUGCAAGUCGAACGAAGCAUUUAGAACAGAUUACUUCGGUUUGAAGUUCUUUAUGACUGAGUGGCGGACGGGUGAGUAACGCGUGGGUAACCUGCCUUGUACUGGGGGAUAGCAGCUGGAAACGGCUGGUAAUACCGCAUAAGCGCACAAUGUUGCAUGACAUGGUGUGAAAAACUCCGGUGGUAUAAGAUGGACCCGCGUCUGAUUAGCUAGUUGGUGAGAUAACAGCCCACCAAGGCGACGAUCAGUAGCCGACCUGAGAGGGUGACCGGCCACAUUGGGACUGAGACACGGCCCAGACUCCUACGGGAAGCAGCAGUGGGGAAUAUUGCACAAUGGAGGAAACUCUGAUGCAGCGACGCCGCGUGAGUGAAGAAGUAAUUCGUUAUGUAAAGCUCUAUCAGCAGGGAAGAUAGUGACGGUACCUGACUAAGAAGCUCCGGCUAAAUACGUG
rnacentral:rRNA from 1 species